rnacentral:lncRNA from 1 species
CAAUGCAAUUCAAAAUGGUUUACACUAAAAAAUGGUGCUGCUGCAAUUCCAUACUACAUUCACAGAAGACAGAGAGAGGGACAGAGAGAGAGGGUUCUUGCUUCUUCAUACAAGGCAAAGGCAAAUGGAUGAUAGAAAAGAAUGGCCAUAUUUCGUACUACUGACACAAGAAGGUGGUGGUCUUUAUGAAUUGAAGGAUAUGAAUUUCAGAAUCGACAGACUUCCUUAUUCAUAUCAAACAAAGAGUCACAGUCGAACUGUCUUGCACAUAGUACAAAAAGCUAGGAUCAAAAUGGGGAAUCGAAGUAGGCUUCUUUAGGCUUAGGGUGGCAGCUUUCACGUGUGGUUGGUCAUUACGCCCUGCCCCUGUUGUCUCCUCCAAUAGAUGCUGCAGUUCCUCCUUCCUCUUCGUGUGGGCCUCCAGCAGGCUGGUUAAGUUUUCUUGCACCAAUUGCAGGUUCUGGAGCAAAUCCGCAAUGUCAAUUAAGAGAUUAUUGGCCUUUUUCUGUGCCAUUAUUUCAUCAAUUUCUUGAUUCUUGGCCUGAUCCUGCUCUUUCUGCGCCCAUGUUUCUUCAAUUUUAUGAUUCUUGGACUGAUCAUGCUCUUCUUGAGAGAAAGAGAAGAGACAGCCUGUAAACGAUCCUCAUGAAAAUUCGACCCACUGAUCCUCCUUCUCUUAUGCAACGCAUCAGCUCCAUCCUCCGCGUCGAUCUUCCGCUUAGGGAGGCCUCCUGCCUCUGCCAUUGCCCUGUACCUCACCUCCACACUCGGCAAAAUCCUCAAAAAAUGCUUCACCAAAUACUUUGGCCACUUGCAGUGCUUAAGGAAGGAAUGCUUCAAAAACCAGAGAGAUAGAGUGAGAAGGGGUAGAGAUAAAGAGAGAGAGAGAGUUUGAAA